UACAAGGAGUCCUAUAAAGACCGGAGGCGGC
rnacentral:piRNA from 1 species